rnacentral:rRNA from 1 species
CAGUAGCCACGGUAAUACGGAGGGAGCUAGCGUUGUUCGGAAUUACUGGGCGUAAUGCGCACGUAGGCGGUUAUUCAAGUCAGAGGUGAAAGCCCGGGGCUCAACCCCGGAACUGCCUUUGAAACUAGAUGACUGGAAUCUUGGAGAGGUCAGUGGAAUUCCGAGUGUAGAGGUGAAAUUCGUAGAUAUUCGGAAGAACACCAGUGGCGAAGGCGACUGACUGGACAAGUAUUGACGCUGAGGUGCGAAAGCGUGGGGAGCAAACAGGAUUAGAUACCCCGGUAGUCCCUGUCUCUUAUAC